rnacentral:rRNA from 1 species
GACGAACGCUGGCGGCGUGCUUAACACAUGCAAGUCGAACGGAAAGGCCCUGCUUUUGUGGGGUGCUCGAGUGGCGAACGGGUGAGUAACACGUGAGUAACCUGCCCUUGACUUUGGGAUAACUUCAGGAAACUGGGGCUAAUACCGGAUAGGAGCUCCUGCUGCAUGGUGGGGGUUGGAAAGUUUCGGCGGUUGGGGAUGGACUCGCGGCUUAUCAGCUUGUUGGUGGGGUAGUGGCUGACCAAGGCUUUGACGGGUAGCCGGCCUGAGAGGGUGACCGGCCACAUUGGGACUGCGAUACGGCCCAGACUCCUACGGGAGGCAGCAGUGGGGAAUAUUGCACAAUGGGCGGAAGCCUGAUGCAGCAACGCCGCGUGCGUGAUGACGGCCUUCGGGUUGUAAACCGCUUUCGCCUGUGACGAAGCGUGAGUGACGGUAAUGGGUAAAGAAGCACCGGCUAACUACGUG